GCGUGGGGAGUUCUGGCAGUGUGACCAGUGUGAGGUCAUCAGGGAGUGGUCAGAGUGCCGGGAGCUCCACCCACAUUCUCCACGCGCAGGCCGAGGGGGUUAAGCUCCUGGCUACAGUGCUGUCUCAGUCUGCCAAAGCCAAAGAGCACCUGCUGGAGCAGUCCAAGUCUGUAGAGCUAUCUACAGGCUCCGCCUCUGCCUCUAGACAGUCGAGCCAAUCAGGAUGCCCGCUCCAUGAAGCUCCACCCUAUGACGCCACGGCAACCUGGAAGGGGGAGGAGCAAGACGAGGGGAAGGUAAGACAGAC